rnacentral:lncRNA from 1 species
CUGCUGUGUGGGACAGGGAUGAGGAAGAGAUGAUCCUGAACUUGAACUCGAACCCGGAUGGGAGGGGGCGGGGCCGGACCCAAGGGCUGGCCUGCCGCAGAGCUGUCCCCACUGGGCUCUGAGACCCUGGGGGUGCUGGGGCUCCCUGGAGGUUCUGAAGCCAGGCUGCUGGGCCCUGCGUUAACUGGCGCACUGCAACUCUGCAUGCAGGUCAGGCGGACCUGCUUGGCUCGGGCACGGGGCCUGCUCUCCUCACUGUCCGACCCAGAGGUACUACUGGGCCUGCGGUUGUCUCCAGUGCCCCGGGGGCGGGGCCGGCGGCUGCGGGUCAGGGGCAUGUCCAGCUCCAGCCAGUCCCCGGCCAGGCACUCCUCCUCCGGGAUGAGCGCUGCCUGGGGGGCAAGGGCUUUGCUGUGGCCCCGCGGUGGGCCAGGCCCCAGCCGGCUCUGAGCACUGCCCACACCCCGGAUGGCUGCCUGGUAGGCUGCCCGGCUGGUGCUGGCUGUGGCUGCUUCCCUGUUGCUGGCGGGGCCAGGCGUCCAGGCUGCCACCCGUUGUGCUGUGGCCGAGCACCGAGGCCUCUUCUGGGACGGCCGUGCGGGGCCUGCGCUGUCCUCGCCUUCUGAGCUGCUGCUGCUGCUGGCUGGCCCAUGCCUGCUCCUCCGAGGCCUGGCCAUGGCUGGUGCCGCCUGCCCUGGGGAGACCCUGACAUGGGCCUGAGAGGCCUCUGGGAGUCUAGUGCUAUUAGAGGGGGGUUCUGGGCAGGGGCUCAAAGGAGGAGAGGUCUCGGGGUCAAACAGAAGGCUGCUUGGGGUGUGGAAGGCCUGGGAGCUGUGGGGAUCUUGGCCCGAGGCAGCCGCCUGGAGCAGCAUCUCCAUGGCCCUGGCCUUCUGCCGCGUCUCCAGGUCCAGGUCCCUGCGGUACAGCUUCACCCACUGCUGCAGCGUCUCCAGCGGGCUGAGGCCGUUCAAGCGAUUCUCCUGCCUCAGCCUCCCGAGUAGCUGGGACUACAGGCCUCAUGGACAGGCUCCUGCCACCCACCACUCAGUCAGAAACCAGCCUCCCAGCUACCCGCUAACCCCGCUCUCAGCCCUCUCUCCCUGCACCACGGCCAAGAUGGCUUCAGUCCAAGCCCCGCUCCAGCCAGUCCCUCAUGCCUGCCCUCCGUGCAGCUGAUGUCGCCAGCCUCUGGAGGAAACCCAAGCCUGCUCUGAAGGGUUUCAGGAAGGUGCUCAGCUCUUGCAGAGGCAGCCGGGGCUCUUCAAAGUGCACCGUCUCACCCCUGGCCCCAGAUGGCACGUGCCUCUCUAACGGGACCAUGCCCCAGCUGACACUCACUCGACUCCCAACCACUGUCUCCUCCAGGAGGCCAAGGCCGCCCCAGGCUCCCUGCGGGUCACCACCUUCUCUGUCCAGUUCCGGGAAAGCACU